rnacentral:rRNA from 1 species
CCCGCACAAGCGGUGGAGCAUGUGGUUUAAUUCGACGCAACGCGAAGAACCUUACCAGGGCUUGACAUCCCCUGACCGCGUAUGAAAGUACGUUUUCACCCUCGGGUGACAGGGAGACAGGUGGUGCAUGGUUGUCGUCAGCUCGUGUCGUGAGAUGUUGGGUUAAGUCCCGCAACGAGCGCAACCCCUACGUUUAGUUGCUAACGCGUGAAGGCGAGCACUCUAGACGAACUGCCGUUGACAAAACGGAGGAAGGUGGGAUGACGUCAAAUCAUCAUGCCCCUUAUGUUCUGGGCUACACACGUGCUACAAUGGCCGGUACAGACGGAGGCGAAGCCGCGAGGCGGAGCAAAUCCGAAAAAGCCGGUCUCAGUUCGGAUUGCAGGCUGCAAUUCGCCUGCAUGAAGUCGGAAUCGCUAGUAAUCGCAGGUCAGCAUACUGCGGUGAAUACGUUCCCGGGCCUU